UACAGAGGUCUCAAGCGUUUGUUCGGAUUCAUUGGGCGUAAAGGGUGCGUAGGCGGCGCGGUAAGUCGGGUGUGAAAUUUCGGAGCUUAACUCCGAAACUGCAUUCGAUACUGGCGUGCUUGAGGACUGGAGAGGAGACUGGAAUUCAUGGUGUAGCAGUGAAAUGCGUAGAGAUCAUGAGGAAGACCAGUGGCGAAGGCGGGUCUCUGGACAGUUCCUGACGCUGAGGCACGAAGGUCAGGGGAGCAAACGGG
rnacentral:rRNA from 1 species